rnacentral:rRNA from 1 species
AGUGAACGCUGGCGGUAGGCCUAACACAUGCAAGUCGAACGGCAGCACAGUAAGAGCUUGCUCUUACGGGUGGCGAGUGGCGGACGGGUGAGGAAUACAUCGGAAUCUACUUUUUCGUGGGGGAUAACGUAGGGAAACUUACGCUAAUACCGCAUACGACCUACGGGUGAAAGCAGGGGAUCUUCGGACCUUGCGCGAUUGAAUGAGCCGAUGUCGGAUUAGCUAGUUGGCGGGGUAAAGGCCCACCAAGGCGACGAUCCGUAGCUGGUCUGAGAGGAUGAUCAGCCACACUGGAACUGAGACACGGCCCAGACUCCUACGGGAGGCAGCAGUGGGGAAUAUUGGACACUGGGCGCAAGCCUGAUCCAGCCAUACCGCGUGGGUGAAGAAGGCCUUCGGGUUGUAAAGCCCUUUUGUUGGGAAAGAAAAGCAGCAGGUUAAUACCCCGCUGUUCUGACGGUACCCAAAGAAUAAGCACCGGCUAACUUCGUG